UCUGUCCACACUGGCUCCCCUUCACAUUCUGCCAUGAGUGGAAGCAUCUGGAAGCCCUCUCCAGGUUUUUUGUUCAGCCACAAGAACUAUAUGGAGAAAGUAUUUUGAACAGCUUUAAUAGCAUUAUGGAGAGAAGGAUGUUUGCUGAUUUCAAUUCAAAGAAUACUUCCUUAUAAUAAAGACUGUUCCUGGAGAAGGACUCAACUGUCAGCUGUAAGCCCCAUCUCUUCCUGAAUCUAGGAAAUGAGUGCCUACACGCCGGAAUGGGCAUCUUGGCACCGAAGCACCCACUAUGUCUAUUUCUAUGUCAUU